AUCUGAUAUGCUUGGCUAAUUCUUUUUAUUAAUCAGAAGUUAUUUUUUUGCUGAACACAUUUAACAGAAGGAACUUUUCUUUUACAUAUCCAUCAACCAAUGAUAAGGUGGUCGAGGUAUCAGGUGAGCUCACAGUCCAUCACAGCAUCAGGUGAUAUUGCGGAAAGAGGAGGCUGAAGUGUACAGAUGAAUCCGUCCUAGCAGUUCUCACCAUAAAUUUAUCAGGCUGCCUAAACUACUGCCCACUCGGUUACCCCGGUUACAGCCCACAUGAUCCAUCUUCUCACGCCCAUAGAUGUUCAUCAAUAAAACAAA
rnacentral:lncRNA from 1 species